GACGGAGGAUGCAAGCGUUAUCCGGAAUUAUUGGGCGUAAAGCGUCCGCAGGUGGCAUUUCAAGUCUGCUGUCAAAGCGCAGAGCUUAACUCUGUAACGCGGUGGAAACUGGAAAGCUAGAGUAUGGUAGGGGUAGAGGGAAUUCCCGGUGUAGCGGUGAAAUGCGUAGAUAUCGGGAAGAACACCAGUGGCGAAAGCGCUCUACUGGGCCAAGACUGACACUGAGGGACGAAAGCUAGGGGAGCGAAAGGG
rnacentral:rRNA from 1 species